rnacentral:rRNA from 1 species
ACUCCGGGAAACCGGGGCUAAUACCGGAUAACAUUUUGAACUGCAUGGUUCGAAAUUGAAAGGCGGCUUCGGCUGUCACUUAUGGAUGGACCCGCGUCGCAUUAGCUAGUUGGUGAGGUAACGGCUCACCAAGGCAACGAUGCGUAGCGCGACCUGAGAGGGUGAUCGGCCACACUGGGACUGAGACACGGCCCAGACUCCUACGGGAGGCAGCAGUAGGGAAUCUUCCGCAAUGGACGAAAGUCUGACGGAGCAACGCCGCGUGAGUGAUGAAGGCUUUCGGGUCGUAAAACUCUGUUGUGAAGGGUUUAGGACAAGUGCUAGUUGAAUAAGCUGGCACCUUGACGGUACCUAACCAGAAAGCCACGGCUAACUACGUGCCAGCAGCCGCGGUAAUACGUAGGUGGCAAGCGUUAUCCGGAAUUAUUGCGCGUAAAGCGCGGGCAGGUGGUUUCUUAAGUCUGAUGUGAAAGCCCACGGCUCAACCGUGGAGGGUCAUUGGAUACUGGGAGACUUGAGUGCAGAAGAGGAAAGUGGAAUUCCAUGUGUAGCCGUGAUAUGCGUAGAGAUAUGGAGGAACACCAGUGGCGAAGGCGACUUUCUGGUCUGUAACUGACACUGAGGCGCGAAAGCGUGGGGAGCAAACAGGAUUAGAUACCC